GAACAGCUCUGACUUGUUGUUAGCAACUCUGCGCCCUGGCCUCACAUACCAGGACACAAAUAUGAGGCGCUGCAUUUCUCCUGAGGAACGGCUCAUUGUGACGUUGAGAACACUUCAAGACGCUGUCCAAGGUCCUGGCUUUGGAGGUUAUCCCAGCACCAUAUUCCUGCUCCUCCUAAGAUCCACCACAGGUUGCAAAAACUGAAGCUGCUUCGUAUCUUUCAAAGCCCGCCAUCGCCACUGUGUCCCUGUGAAAUCACCAGUUCCCGCCAAAACUGAUUGCGGCAUGAUUGCCAGCGCGUCUUCACUCGUUGCACUGUAGAAAUAUAACAUAACAACCAUUCUAAAUGUAUAUGUACACAUGUAUAAAUGCACAUGUGUACAAAUGGUUAAACAAAAUGUAUAAAUUGAAAAACAUUUAUAGUGAUACCAUAUA